rnacentral:lncRNA from 1 species
UCCCAAAAAAGUAACUGACAAUAUGAACGCAUCUGUGUUUGCAAGUGAUCCUUCAAAACUCUUAAUACUAAACGUAUAAAGAGCAUCAUCGCGUUUUGACUGUCGAAUGUAACUAAUUCUAUAUAUUAAUAACGUUACCGUUAAGAUACUGGUCGUCACUAAGGAAAAGGAAUCACUAGAAAUAAACCCAAUCACUUAUUCUCUGCGACAGUCAACCAGAAUCAUUGCUGUGAGAAGCCCAUGACAAUGAAGUCAAAGUAAAACCGCAGUACAUCAAAAUACAAUCGAAUACGCUCAAAUGAAGAAAGCCAGAUGACGGCAAAUACCAGUUUAAUAGGUGGUUCAUAUUAAAGUAGCACAUUUGUCUCGAGGACAAGCAGCAGCCAUCUAAUAUACCAGGAUUUUAAUUGGUAUAUUAGGGA